rnacentral:pre_miRNA from 1 species
UUAGUUUAAAUCAUUGUGGGUUUAUACUUUGGAAAUAGAAACCAUACAAAGUGGUGAGACAUAUAUUAAUUUUAUCCAA